GAUGAACGCUGGCGGCGUGCCUAACACAUGCAAGUCGAACGGAGUAUUAUGGAGUUUUCGGACAAAGUAAUACUUAGUGGCGGACAGGUGAGUAACGCGUGGGUAACCUGCCUCAUACAGGGGAAUAACAGCUGGAAACGGCUGCUAACACCGCAUAAACAUACAGUGCCGCAUGGUACAGUGUGAAAAUAUUAAUAGGUAUGAGAUGGUCCCGCGUCUGAUUAGAUAGUUGGUGGGGUAACAGCCUACCAAGGCAACGAUGGGUAGCCGUCCUGAGAGGGCGACCGGCCACACUGGAACUGAGAAACGGUCCAGACUCCUACGGGAGGCAGCAGUGGGGAAUCUUCCGCAAUGGGCGCAAGCCUGACGGAGCAACGCCGCGUGAGUGAAGAAGGUUUUCGGAUUGUAAAACUCUGUCCGCAGGGAAGAAGAAAAUGACGGUACCUGUGGAGGAAGCCCCGGCUAACUACGUGCCAGCAGCCGCGGUAAGAC
rnacentral:rRNA from 1 species